UACGGAGGAUGCAAGCGUUAUCCGGAUUCAUUGGGUUUAAAGGGUGCGUAGGCGGCUUUUUAAGUCAGUGGUGAAAUCUUGCCGCUUAACGGUAAAAUUGCCAUUGACACUGAUAAGCUUGAGUACAAUUGAGGUAAGCGGAAUGUGUAGUGUAGCGGUGAAAUGCUUAGAUAUUACACAGAACACCGAUUGCGAAGGCAGCUUACUAAACUGUUACUGACGCUGAUGCACGAAAGCGUGGGGAGCGAACAGG
rnacentral:rRNA from 1 species